rnacentral:lncRNA from 1 species
AGGAGAUUGAGACAUUUAAUGUUAAAAAGAUCCUCUCUCUUCUAGGGCACGAGUAAAGAUAUCAACCCAUCUAUCUGUAGAAAAUUGCCAGAAACUGUCACAAAAUAAAAAAUGAGAGAAGGCCUGAAUUACGACAGUCCUGGUGGGGUUCUACAAGGCAGCAUGAGGGAGAGGAGAGAGGACUAUUUUACCAAGAUUUUAAGACUUUCAAACAACCAGGGAAGGCUUCUGUGGACAGGCUGUCUCUGCACUAGGACUAAAGAACCAGAACUGUUCAGAAAGAGAGAAGAGCCCAGCACCUUAUACUCAGGAGAUACUGAAAAACAUCAUAUAAGGUGUUUACUGUUGAGAGAAAAGUACACAUCAGAGGAUGCCCAUUAUUGAUAUAGAGCCUUCUCUGUAUCUGGAUGAACGUGACCAGGAAGCCACCCUCAGCCUGCUGCAGCUGUUUUCAGAAUCUGUGGGAUCACACCCCAGAGGCAGUUGGGUCAGCCGCAGGCAUCAGGUGAGGAGGAGGAAGAGUGAGACAGCUAUUACAGGCUGCCGGACCAGGUGGCUGUGAAGAGGUGUGGGGACACCAAGGCUUAUAUAAGGAGGAUGGAGAACACAGGCCAAAGGGGAGGCUGUAAUGCUGACUUCGAUUGGCUAACUUAAUAUAAGGCAGACUGAGGGAGGAGGAGGAGGGCAGGAGAGAACACGCUUUAGAAAGCAUGACGGUGUCUCAUUCUGUUUGCAAGUGAGCACGUAGGUGCCUUCCAAAUAUGAUCCUGAAGAAGGUGCAGAUAAAUGAAA